rnacentral:lncRNA from 1 species
AGAUAUUGAAAAAAUAUAACAAAAUUAAUCAGACUGAUAUGUUCUUUGUUUGGGACUCAGAUCCAUCACAUAUCUCUGUCUGUAUUCUAGGAACAUGCAGACUUCUUCCUUCUUCGUCUAGAUCUCUAAAAAACCAUGAUUGAAGCAUCCAGAUUAUCAGGCAACACCUUGAUUGCCUGCCACUUCCCUGUGGUACAGCUUCCCACGUGGCAACUUCCUGUCCAGGCCCUCUGCAGCUCUGCUAAAAGGACUCAGUGCUCAGCGGGGCUGACCCGAGCCGUGUCUCUCCCAGAGCAAGACCUGCUCAACAAAGAGCACGCCUUCACGGGCGGACGCAGGAAUUUUUCCUGCAGCUACGGAAGCCUCACUGAGGACCGAGUGGAGGAGGAGGGAGCCAGCGACUCCACCUCAUCCCCAGAGGAGACCAGUUCCCAUCUAAACAGUGAAACGUCUGAUGAAAAAGUCUGCCAGCGUUUACAGAAUUCAUUCCUUCCCAAUACUGCUCUGGACGAGGACGACGAAGACGAAGACUUUGAUGGUGACAACCUUCACAGAUAUCGCGAAGACUCAUCUUUUGUCCUGCACGGUAAUUUAAAUUGGUCACCACGUGAUGGGGCUUCAGGUUACACAGUGCCCUACAGGGAUGUGGAUUGUGAAUGGAACAAUGAAGGAACCAUGCUCAGCACUGACAGUGACGGACACUGGAACCAGCUUCCACAAACAAACCAUGCUCCCAUUACCAGAUCUGACAUCACCAUGACGACUUGUUUUGUGCAGGACUCAGGGAGAUUAGAAGAUAAGCUGACCUGCUGCAUGCACAACCAGAACAGAUGUUCCCCAGGUGCUCUGUUCAAUAGUCAGACAGAGUACGUCAGUGACUCCUCCAGUAACAGCUCAGAUGGUAUUUUGGUUAACUUUUGUACAAUCUACGACAAGAGCAACAAUCCUGCAACACCUCUUGAUCUCAGAAGUCCUUCUGUCUACCCGUCACACUCAUCUGAGGGUUCAGUGUUCCUCAAUCUUCAGCCCAUUGCCCCCAGUUUAAGUGACAACUUUCCCAUAGAGGACCCAGCAGGUUGCUCUUCUUUAAGAGACAAGGGGGACAUCAAACUCGCUUCCAAUUCAAAAGACCAACUUUACUCUCUUGAGCGUUUACCAUCAGAUGUGUCCUCUUUAGAGGUGUCAGAUCUUACCGCCUGUCUACAAAAUCAUGACACACUGGCCACGGGCACCAAUCCCAAAUACUACAAGCUUGUCGACUGUGACCUGUCCUCCCAGUCACCCAGUCCAGCCUGGUCCAGUGCUGCUAGCUGCCCCGAAGGUCAGAACAGGGGUAACCAAUCGGAAGAGGAGCAGCACUCUGAUGUCACAAAGGUAAAAGAAGACGUACAUAAAGACAGAAGGCUCUCCUCUACACAGUGCAGCUCUGACUGUUCACAGACUACUGAUUACCAGGUUGCCUCCACUUCCUGUGACAAGGCUCCCUGCAGGACCAAGCAAACAAACGGCAUCCAGAACAUUUACAGCAUGCCCUGCUCGCUGUGGCCAGGUCGUAGCCAGUGCCAAGAUGCACGAGCCGGGUCCACACAGCCAUCUGUGGUUCAGGACGGGGAGUGUAGUCGUGCUGAGGUCUCAGAGAAACAAAAGCCAGACGGUGAGAGAGACGCUUGGAUCACUUAUGUCCAUUCACGCUUUAUAUUUUAUCAUUUAUUUUUGUGUGUGUAUCAUAUCAUCAUUUUCCGCC